rnacentral:sRNA from 1 species
GGAAAGUGAUGAUCUUUUUUCAGUGGAUUCUGGAGAAGAUUCUAGUUCAGAGGAGACAAUCAAAGAACUGAUUUUACUCAAAGUUCUUGCUGAAGCUGCAAAACUUCAACAGGCCAAAGCUAAUGCUGGUGGCGCCAACACA